UAUUUUGGUUCAAUGAAUGGAUUCACCCGCGAGAUGACGUGACUGUUUCAUCAAGGACGAGGACAUGACAUCAUAUUACCCGCCAUCGCACGAAAUUAAUAGGAUGCCACGUCCUUAUUCUAGAUGGAACAAUCACGUCAUCUCGCAGGUGAAUACAUUCAUCGAUAGUGUGAUU
rfam:Oryza glumipatula chromosome 3, whole genome shotgun sequence.